rnacentral:lncRNA from 1 species
UAAGUCUGAGUUUAGGGAAAUGCACGUGUGUUUUCUUUGCUACUAAGGGUGAGAACAAAAGUGUGAAAGCAUAAAAAUUCAGGCAUAGAAACUGGAGAUCUUGCUUUGCUGUCACUAAACCAUAGUCACCAGUGCUUGUAGCUGCCAACAAAGCCUCUUCCCACUCCUUCUCUUCGCCCCACAUUUUGUCUAGGAGAUCUCAUUCCUAAAGCACAUCUCUUCCACCCUCUUUCCCUUUUUAUCUUCAUUGCCUUUUUACCUUGAGGGUUUUUCACAAUCCCAAAUCCUUUGUUUCUGUUUGUUUUUUCCCCUCCAGGGACAAGUUUGAACCAGGAAUCUUCCAGCCAGGAAUGAGUCCUAAAUGAACAUUCACAUUCCCCUACACGAGCACCUCAGACACUACAGGCAGCCUGGUAUUACCUCCUUCUGCUUGAUGAAGGUACCGCCCUACAUGCUGAAUAUAUACUCAUGUAUAUGCUUAAUGUGUCUGCACAAAAGUGGAACGGGGAAGAAUUGAAGGUAAGGUUGGAAGAAAUAGGAGAUGGAGAGUGAUUUCUGGCCAGAUGCAGUUCUUCAAGGCUUCAAGGCGAUUAAAAUUGAGAAAAUUCAAUAAGUAGCUUUGGAUUUUUCAUCAUGAGAAAAAAAACUGUUUAUUUUGAACUUCUGAGUUUCGCCUUUUAGCAUAUGGGGAAUACUUACUUAAGAAG